GAUGAACGCUAGCGGCAGGCUUAACACAUGCAAGUCGAGGGGUAACAGGGGUUAGUUUACUAAUUUGCUGACGACCGGCGCACGGGUGAGUAACGCGUAUACAAUUUACCUUUUACAGGGGAAUAGCCCAGAGAAAUUUGGAUUAAUGCCCCAUAGUAUUGAUUGGUCACCUGGCCGAUUGAUUAAAGUUCCGGCGGUAAAAGAUGAGUAUGCGUCCUAUUAGCUAGAUGGUAAGGUAACGGCUUACCAUGGCGACGAUAGGUAGGGGUCCUGAGAGGGAGAUCCCCCACACUGGUACUGAGACACGGACCAG
rnacentral:rRNA from 1 species